UAGGGAAUCUUCGGCAAUGGGGGGAACCCUGACCGAGCAACGCCGCGUGAGUGAAGAAGGUUUUCGGAUCGUAAAGCUCUGUUGUUAAGGAAGAACGAGUGUGAGAAUGGAAAGUUCAUACUGUGACGGUACUUAACCAGAAAGGGACGGCUAACUACGUGCCAGCAGCCGCGGUAAUACGUAGGUCCCGAGCGUUGUCCGGAUUUAUUGGGCGUAAAGCGAGCGCAGGCGGUUAGAUAAGUCUGAAGUUAAAGGCAGUGGCUCAACCAUUGUAGGCUUUGGAAACUGUUUAACUUGAGUGCAGAAGGGGAGAGUGGAAUUCCAUGUGUAGCGGUGAAAUGCGUAGAUAUAUGGAGGAACACCGGUGGCGGAAGCGGCUCUCUGGUCUGUAACUGACGCUGAGGCUCGAAAGCGUGGGGAGCGAACAGG
rnacentral:rRNA from 1 species